GUAAGGUUUGAACUACUGCUGGGCGCUUGAGGGGCGGUCCUAUGUUCCACUGUACCAUCAAAUGGUUGCGUUUGAUUACGGAACUCAUACUUACCUAGUAGUCUCCGAUCAGGUGGCGUAUCCGGUGUCUGCGCGAUGGUCGAUGCUCCCCGCGUAUACGUGCCGGUGAUCUCUCGUUUUUUUUUUUUUUUGCUCAACCGGUUCCACCAAUGCAUGCCGCUUCCUGGAAAAAUUAGCUGCUGUAGUAAGCAAACGCACAGCUAGCUGUUUGUGCUUGCCUCGUGCCUGCAUGCGUAUUAUGCGUGCUACCAUGCAUGGCCACAUGUUUUCUCGUAGGCUAGCUUUUCCCCCUACUUGGCUCACUGAAUGCCGCUGCGCUUGUGCCAUACCGUGGUACAUUUUCUGUUUCCUGCUUCUUAAUUAGUACUUUUUUCUCGCUUUAAUACCUCUUUCUUUCCCUAUUUAAGCCAGCAUCUCGUUCUUUUCUCAUCCAUGCUUCAAAUCAAACUUCCUGUCUUUCUUUAGUUUGUAGUUAUUUAGCUGGCCGUGCUCUUUCCUGCGUCGCCGCUACUUCUCCCGUCGCCAUAGUUCUCUGAGCCUGGCAUCGUCACUACUUAGUUCAGCUAGAACAACGCGAGUGCGAGAUGUACGUGGAUGCAUCUUGGCGCAGGGCUAGCUGGGCGUCGGUGAGCCGGACGAGGUGCCUCUGCUUGUGCGAGCGAAACAUGCUCGUGGUGGACUCCUGGUUGGAGAUCUUCAGGCAGACAUGUUGAUCGUCAAUGUCCACCGAAGCGUUGGCCUCCAUGAUGCCAGACCGGCUGUGGCUGGUGGGUCCUGUUGUGGGUGAAACUGUGGCCCUAGCGCAUCGGCGUAGAACCCGAGCUUAAUAUGUGGUGGCGCGAGCGCGAAUGAAACUUUCUAUGAUCUUUCUAUCUUUGUAGAGAUAACAACCAUAUUGGUUUAGCAUGCUAUGCAUUCUUGCUUUUAGGUGGUAAAAUCUUGGAUAACAUUUUUAAAGUAUCUUUGCCAAAUGCGGUUAUAUUGGUUUGAUUCCCUUUGAUUAAAUUUGAAAACACACCAGUUUCCCCAAAAGCUCAUCAUAGUUUAUUUUCUUUUUCUCUUUUUGCAUUCUUUUCACCGUGAUUUUCCCAAAAUUUACAACAGUACAGACAAGGUAGAAUAUUAUUUGUGCUUUCCUCUUCUAUCCCUUUAUGCCAAAAAGUCAAUUAUUUGUUAGCACAUUGUUGCUUACACAAAAUCUUUUUUUAUCUCUUCAACAGCAUGCAAAAGCUGCAACUUGGUAGGAGUAGCUAGAGAAUAUCAUGUCACCUAUUUAAUCGUAGAAGACUACAAUAAAAGUAGAUUAGCGCUCCAAAACGACUUUACAGAAUAGCUUUUCGUUUGGAAGAUGUAACUUUUCAUCCUGUAACCGUCUCUUGUAGUGAAACCCUGUAAACCAUUAUUAAAAAACAUGUACUCACUCCUGUUCAAAAGUUUUGACUUUUGAAUGAGGUUAAAUUUUUAUAAUUUUAACUAUCAAUAACCUAAAAAUAUUUAAUUUAAAUGCACUAGCUAUUUAUCUUAUAAAGUACUACUCCAGAAUAUAAGUAUUUUUAGAGGUGGACACGGUUAUUAAGAAAGUAGGUAGAAGUGAAUGGUUGAGGGUUAUGAUUGGUUAAGCACUAAUGGUGGUAGGUGGGAAAAUUGAAUGAUGAAAAGUUCUGAUUGGUUGGGAAGAAAAUGUUGGUGGAGAAGUGGUUAUAUUUUGGAUAAAUCUCGAGGCUAAAAGUUGUUAUAUUUUAGGACUGAGGGAGUAUAUAUAUAUAUAUAUAUAUAUAUAUAUAUAUAUAUAUAUAUAUUCUUGCAUAUAUUAUAGUAGAAAAAUAAUAUAGUCAAAAAGAUAUAUUUUAAAAUCGUGUCGUAACCGGAGGAGUAAACUUUUCUCCCAUCAUAAAAUAAGACGGCUCAACUAUAGAAAAAGAUAGUGGUUGCAGCAGAGAUGACUAGUUAUGAGUGUCUCAGUUAUUGGAAUGUUAAUUCUGAAAUCUGAAUCCUAUGGUUAACCCCUUGCCAUCGUACUGUUGUAUAUAUAGAUUCAAUAUACCAGGUAUUAUAUAAGUUAAAUCAUUUCCUUAGGAUUCCUAAGAGAAUCGGUACGUACGCAUGCAUAUUUGUUCUGUUUUCCUUUUCCAGUUUUUCUGUUCACUGCUGGAGAAAGGGUUUUUAACCCCGGUUCACGGCCUGUAGUGUCCCGGUUAUUUAACCGGGACUACGAAUCCGAAACUAUUUAUAGCUAUCUUUAGUCCGGGUGAAAUAACCGGGGUGUAACUUUAACCGGUACUAUAAAUACAGUAGAGUCAUCACCAAUUUGUUUUCUUUUUUUUUCAUUUGUUUUUUGUUUGCAUAUUAAUUUCGCGUCAAAAUCACAAAUCAAAUAAACAUUCACAUUCACAGAUCAACGCUAAAUUCACAAAUCAAAUAAACAUUCACAGAUCUUUGAUAUCACAAAUUCACAUACUCAACAAUAAAAUUAAUCGUCCACAAAUUUCACAAAAAAUAAUCAUAAACAACACCAUGCAUUUACACAACAAAAAAUCAACACAACACAGAUCCGCCGCCGACCCCUCCGAGCCGUAGUCGCCCACCCCUCCGCCCGUCCGCCCACCCGCCACCUGCCGCUAUCCUCCACUCCACCUGCCGCCACCCUCCACGGCCUUCAUGGCGUGCUGCCAUGCACCACCGCCCGCCACCACCUGCCACCAAGAGAGAAGGCCGUGAAGAGGAGAAGAAAUCGAGAGGAGAGGGGAGAUGAGUCUGGCGAAGGGAUAAGACGUGCGCGGUGGACGAGAAGAUAGUGUCUCGAGAGUGAAGGUGUGCGGCUAUAUUUUUUUUCAAAUGUGGUCCUAGUUGGUAUAAACAACCGGGACUAAAUAUAUAUCUUUAAACCGGACUAAAGAUAGUGGGGCCGGAUGACUUUUUAAACUGGGACUAAAAAUGAUCUUUAGUCCUGGUUAUAAAGAUCAAAAAGUUCCCUUGGGUUUUUUAACUGGGACUAAAAAGAAUCUUUAAUCCCGGUUCCUAUUUGAACCGGGGCUAUUGUUCCACUAGUGAUUACGUGUCUAUAAAAUGCAUGCUAUAGCGGUAUAGCCCAAGUCUCAGAGCUAUGUAUUCUUACACGCGUACAACCUCAUGUUGAAAUGGUGGUUGAAUUACCGACUAA